AUUACGAAUUCAAAAUCCAAAAAUUAUAAGCAAAAUUACAAAAUUUUGGAACACAAAAUUUCGUAAGCAAAAAACUUAAGAUGUAAGCGAAAGCAGGGCAUUUCCGCUUCGGAAAAGCAGUAGACGAGCAGUAAGCAGUGGACGACCGGAACGGAGAAAAAAUGAGAAACUCUGAAGGAAAUUUUGGAAAAACGUGUUGGGGAAAAUAUCAGAAAAAGUACAAGCUUAUUUUAAGCACCUUCGCGCCUUAUCUUUAAGAACGUAAAUAAAUCAAUGAAAAUACGAAAAAAAAAAUUAAGCAAAAAAAAGGGAAAGCAAAACCAAAAAAGACAAGCAAACUUACAUUUAAAUAAAUUUAAUACGAAAACAAUGUACAUUUAGAAAUUACGAGCAAAAUUAAGCGUGAAUCGCUAGUUUCGAUACAUCUCCUGGUAGUUAACCUUAUCUAAGCUUAAGUUUCAUCCGCACCGAUCUGAUCCGACGACCCGUUCAGACUCGGACUCGGGCACAGAUACUGCAGAAAGCACACUUUUAGUUCCCCCUCAGUUUGGGUUUUGUGGAAAGUCUGCCUCAAAUUGUUAAUUUAGAGAGCAGAAAAGCGAAGGGAAGAAACUGUAGAAAGAGGAAGCUUCAGAAGAAGAACAUGACUAGUCAACAACAACACAACAGAGGCAGUGCCAGGAACUAAUGUAAAUCAGUUCCAGAGCUUGCUGACAAUUGAAACCAAUAUAAGCAACAACCAAAAUUCAAAAUCAUCGCAGCAGCAGAUUUCAAAAUUCAAAAACAGAUAUAACAAAAAUCGCUGAGAAGCAAACGAAAUUAAAAGAAAAUUCUUAACUGCGGUUCGGAGCAAAACGUAAAAGGUGACAAAUGUAUUAUCGGGUUUUCUCAAUAUUAAAAAAAAAGAAAAAAUCCAAGAAAAGAAAGCAAAAAAACGAAGAAAAAACUAAAUUUAUGUUCCCCCACGUCUCUGUAAAUGUUUAGAUGUAUGAAAACGAAACCAGUCAAGGUUUUUGGUGGGGCUAAGACCGACUUAAAAUUAAGAUGUGUAUGUAAAGAAAAAAAGAUACUGAAGCGACGAACACUAUAAAGGCCGGGCCAAAGAGCUGACAGUUAUCAAGCCUCGAAAAUAAAACCAAAGUGCCCAGUCCGUUAGAACGCCAGAAGAUCGGCACAUCGCGGACCGGGCAACUCCAGGACAUCCAGAUCCGUUUCGCACCAUAGCACUCAAGGCAAUACAAGCAAAAAGUAAGCAAAAUAUAAAGCGGCGCGAGAGAGAAGCAAAAAGAAAACAGAAGAAGACAAGGCAAAGGACAAGUUUCGAACCAAGGAUUUCGGUAACAUUUCGAACCACUCGAGCAACAUGCAACACACAACAGAAGCAGCAAGCAGCAACGUGAUACACGAGUUGAGCAAGUGAAUAGCAAUUUUUGAAAUGGGGCCACAACGUCCGAUCUAAAGUGCCUUCAAGUAACAAUGAAAAAAAAAAAUGGAAAACCAAAAAAGAAAAAUACCAAAAAUAAAAACUGUUAAUUUUUUAUGUAACUAAAGCAAACGAAGAGGAAGAAAUUAUAAAUAAAAAUUGUAUAAAAGAAAAUUAA